UGAAUUUGAGAAGUUGAGGUA
rnacentral:miRNA from 1 species